AGAAUAGUUCAGUGGCAGAACACUAGUUUCCCAAACUAGUUGUCGCGGGUUCAAUUCCCGUUUCUC
rnacentral:tRNA from 1 species